GCGCAAAUGGUUUAGUGGUAAAAUCCAUCGUUGCCAUUCCAACAACGAAUACUCGAUGGGCCCCCGGUUCGAUUCCGGGUUUGCGCA